UACGUAGGGUGCAAGCGUUGUCCGGAAUUAUUGGGCGUAAAGAGCUCGUAGGCGGUUUGUCGCGUCUGCUGUGAAAACCCGGGGCUCAACUCCGGGCUUGCGGGCGAUACGGGCAGGCUAGAGUUCGGUAGGGGAGACUGGAAUUCCUGGUGUAGCGGUGAAAUGCGCAGAUAUCAGGAGGAACACCGGUGGCGAAGGCGGGUCUCUGGGCCGAUACUGACGCUGAGGAGCGAAAGCGUGGGGAGCGAACAGG
rnacentral:rRNA from 1 species